UUUUUUUUUUUUUUUUUUUUUCUGGCACAACUAUACAGCCUGAUAAAAUAUAGGCAUAGGUAGUCAUGUUUCCUCUUUUGCUCAUGCUAAAUACAGACGAUGGUGUAGAUUAAGGCUAUAGGGUGAGCCCUGUACAGGGGCGUAUUACAGAGAGAUCAGGGAUCUUCCCUGCUGCCUCUGUGCUGGAUCAUCUGAUUCCUUCCAUGAGCCCGAGUGACUGUUGCCUCUGUGGCUUUGUUUGAAGUGAACACUCUCUUAGGCAGCUCUUGGCAAGUUAAAACGCCUGCAGAAAGCCAGGAAUACUGGUGAUUUUUCUGCGUGCAAGAACUGUGAGGAAUUAAACAGCUUUUUUAACUGCUAUGCGGUGAAGUUGUGAUUAUGUUCAGAAAUGAUAGUGUGUUGGAAUUCAGUUAUAAAACAUGCUCUUUGCUUGUUUAGUGGAUCCUUGGUGUCUGGGUUUUCCAGACAGUGGUGAUCGUCAGCAUGCUGCAUUUAUUGCAUGGAUCAGGAGUGAAAGGCACUGUUCCCUGGAAGCUGCCAUUCACAAGAUUAAGUAUGUUUGGCUUUUUUGAGUUUGUUUGUUUGCUUCCAAGAUUGCUUGUGUUAUCAACCAGGCUGGUAGCAGCUCCCACGAAGACCUCAGGAAUCCCUGACACGAAGACCUGGUGUAAGUCUGGGGGGAGCUGUGGGGUCUCAUUGCCUUUGGUUGCUGUGGCUGGCACUGGCUUGGCUGUGCCUUUCAUCAGAUGGCUUCAGAGGUUCUCUCCUGCACCCUGCCCUAUCCCUGUGCUUUUGACACAUUCAGGGACAAAGUUGGAGUUCCCACCAACCCCACUGAAGGCUCUGCAAUGUACUGCAUCUCCCACUUGGAUGAAUGCUCAUCGUUUUGGCUGGUGAAUGGGAAGAUUUCAAAAUGAAGGGUGAGGGCCAUCCAUACCUGGGGAAUUCAGCUGGACCCCAGGAGCAGAGAGGACUGUGGCUGCAUACCUCCAGGCUGAGAAGGAAGCUCAACACAGAUUUUGCCUUUCCCAGUGAAGUCUUCUCUCACAGACUCGUGAGAUAGGGUUGUGUAUGUGAAGAAUUACGGACUUCCAUGGGUGCUGAGCACAGCUGGCUCCAGAAUUGUCAGAGAUCAGCACCAGUUUAGAUGUCAAAGGACAAAAGGCAAAGAACUGACAUCCAUCUUCAGAUUUCCAAAAAAUAUUUUGCAAGCAACUGGCCUUCUAGAUCCUGGUGGGUCCCAGCUUCCCAGGCUCUCUCCUCAGAUCCAGCUGCUUGCUUCUAGUAAGAAGAGGAAGGCGGAAUAUCAGUGAAAUACUCCCUGAAAUAACAAGAGGGAAAUAGAAGCUGCCUUCACAUCUUGACCCAAAAUAUUGAGGCUUCUUCUAGUUAAGGUGGUAUCUGCAUCUUUAAUGAGACUGUGACUCAGAGAGCAGGUGAUGGCUAUUUCUUUCUGUGUAUGGAACUAUAAUCCUUCUCAAUUAUCAAAGACAUAAAUUACUAUUAUUUCCUUACCCAAUUGAGCAUCUUCCCUAAAUAUGUGAAAGAAAAAUUGUG
ensembl:lncRNA